GGACUACUAGGGUUUCUAAUCCCGUUCGCUACCCUAGCUUUCGUUCCUCAGCGUCAGAAAAGACCCAGUAAGCCGCCUUCGCCACCGGUGUUCCAGAUGAUAUCAAUGCAUUUCACCGCUCCACCAUCUGUUCCGCUUACCCCUAUCUCCCUCAAGCCCUGUGGUUUGAAACGCAGUUCCUCGGUUAAGCCGAGGGCUUUCACAUCUCACCUACAGAGCCGCCUACGAACUCUUUAAGCCCAGUAAUACCGAAUAACGUUUGGGGAGCUCGUCUUACCGCGGCGGCUGGCACU
rnacentral:misc_RNA from 1 species